ACGUAGGAUCCGAGCGUUGUCCGGAUUUACUGGGUGUAAAGGGUGCGCAGGCGGACUGGUAAGUCAGAGGUGAAAUCUCGUCGCUUAACGACGAAACUGCCUUUGAUACUAUCAGUCUUGAGUCCGGUAGAGAUCUGUGGAAUUCCGAGUGUAGCAGUGAAAUGUGUAGAUAUUCGGAAGAACACCAGUGGCGAAGGCAGCAGAUUGGGCCGGUACUGACGCUCAGGCACGAAAGCAUGGGGAUCAAACAGGA
rnacentral:rRNA from 1 species